rnacentral:rRNA from 1 species
AUUGAACGCUGGCGGCAGGCCUAACACAUGCAAGUCGAGCGGUAGAGAGGUGCUUGCAUCUCUUGAGAGCGGCGGACGGGUGAGUAAUGCCUAGGAAUCUGCCUAGUGGUGGGGGAUAACGUUCGGAAACGGACGCUAAUACCGCAUACGUCCUACGGGAGAAAGCGGGGGAUCUUCGGACCUCGCGCCAUUAGAUGAGCCUAGGUCGGAUUAGCUAGUUGGUGAGGUAAUGGCUCACCAAGGCGACGAUCCGGUAACUGGUCUGAGAGGAUGAUCAGUCACACUGGAACUGAGACACGGUCCAGACUCCUACGGGAGGCAGCAGUGGGGAAUAUUGGACAAUGGGCGAAAGCCUGAUCCAGCCAUGCCGCGUGUGUGAAGAAGGUCUUCGGAUUGUAAAGCACUUAAGUUGGGAGGAAGGGUAGUAACCUAAUACGUUGCUACUUUGACGUUACCGACAGAAUAAG